rnacentral:rRNA from 1 species
GACGAACGCUGGCGGCGUGCUUAACACAUGCAAGUCGAACGGAAAGACCCUGCUUUUGUUGGUUUCUCGAUUGGCGAACGGGUGAGUAACACGUGAGUAACCUGCCCUUGACUUUGGGAUAACUUCAGGAAACUCGGGCUAAUACCGGAUAUGAUCUCCUGCUGCAUGGUGGUGGUUGGAAAGUUUCGGCGGUUGGGGCUGGACUCGCGGCUUAUCAGCUUGUUGGUGGGGUAGUGGCUGACCAAGGCUUUGACGGGUAGCCGGCCUGAGAGGGUGGACGGGCACAUUGGGACUGAGAGACGGCCCAGACGCGUACGGGAGGCAGUAGUGGGGAAUAUGGCACAAUGGGCGGAAGCGUGAUGCAGAAACGCCGCGUGCGGGAUGACGGGCUUCGGGUUGUAAACCGCUUUCGCAUGUGACGAAGAGUGAGUGACGGUAAUGGGUAAAGAAGCACCGGCUAACUACGUG